rnacentral:piRNA from 1 species
GUGGAAAAUGCGCUCGGGCUGGAC